GAUGAACGCUAGCGGCAGGCUUAACACAUGCAAGUCGAGGGGUAACAUAGAAAAGCUUGCUUUUCUGAUGACGACCGGCGCACGGGUGCGUAACGCGUAUACAACCUACCUUUUAGCGGGGAAUAGCCCAGGGAAACUUGGAUUAAUGCCCCAUAGUAUAUAGACUUCUCCUGAAGUUUAUAUUAAACAUUUAUGGCUAUUAGAUGGGUAUGCGUCCUAUUAGUUAGUUGGUAAGGUAACGGCUUACCAAGGCAGCGAUAGGUAGGGGUCCUGAGAGGGAGAUCCCCACACUGGUACUGAGACACGGACCAGACUCCUACGGGAGGCAGCAGUGAGGAAUAUUGGACAAUGGGCGAGAGCCUGAUCCAGCCAUGCCGCGUGCAGGAAGACUGCCCUAGUGGGUUAGUAAACUGUCUUUUACAGAGGAAGAACCCACCCCACGUGUGGGGGUUUGACGGUACUCUGCGAAUAAGGAUCGGCUAACUCCGUG
rnacentral:rRNA from 1 species